rnacentral:rRNA from 1 species
GGCCGCGGGAAUUGGAUUCAGGCCUGACACAUGCAAGUCGAGCGGUAGAGAGAAGUUUGCUUCUCUUGAAAAAGGCGGACGGGUGAGUAAUGCCUAGGAAUCUGCCUGGUAGUGGGGGAUAACGUGCGGAAACGGACGCUAAUGCCGCAUACGUCCUACGGGAGAAAGCAGGGGACCUUCGGGCCUUGCGCUAUCAGAUGAGCCUAGGUCGGAUUAGCUAGUUGGUGAGGUAAUGGGUCACCAAGGCUACGAUCCGUAACUGGUCUGAGAGGAUGAUCAGUCACACUGGAACUGGGAGACGGUCCAGAGUCCUACGGGAGGCGGCAGGGGGGAAUAUUGGACAAUGGGCGAAAGCCUGAUCCUUA